GACGGGAAGCUAGCGACUAGGGUUUGGGUUCGGUGUGAUGCAAUAUAUUUAUAUCCGUCUCGCAUUGAUUUAAGUCGUUCAUUGUGUUUGAUAUCAACCGUUCGAUCGCGUUUAAAGAAAAAAUGAAUCUACACUGUUCAUCGCGUUUAAUCGUGACCGUUCGAUCACGCCUGAUGAGGGAACAGAUCCGGACCGUCCACGCACGUGGGAACGCUUCCGGACCGUCCGAUCACGGGGCGCGCGGAUCGCCAGUGUGGCCUCCUGCGUGGCACCGAGUCAGCGUGCCUUAUUCUGCGACGCGCUCCGGUUCGUUGGGGCUGCUGACUGGUCGGUCUUAC
rnacentral:lncRNA from 1 species